CAACAGCAGUCGAUGGGCUGUCU
rnacentral:ncRNA from 2 species